rnacentral:misc_RNA from 1 species
AAGUCGUAACAAGGUUUCCGUAGGUGAACCUGCGGAAGGAUCAUUAGCACGUGAUUUUUCACGUACUCACAAUAACGCGAACUGUUUAUCUCUGUCCUAUUGUCGAUAUGAGUGAUGAGUGAGGAAUGGUGUGAGAUGCUUCGGUGUCUCCUACUCACGAGUCUGUGGUCCUUGAGAUCAAGCUUGUACUGGUGAUAGUGGAUUCAAUUUCGGCUGUUGGCCCGCACCUUGGCUUGCAGUCGGAGUGCCUUAUUAUUAUUAACUUUUUUCUUAUAACCACUGAUACACGUACAUUCUUACGAAUUCCCAGGCGACUGGUCGAGUUUGUCUGAGUGUCGAACAACAUAAUUCGAAACAACUCUUAGCAACGGAUAUCUUGGUUCUC